rnacentral:sRNA from 1 species
GGGUAUAGGAGCUACUUGGUGGCAGUGUCUGUCAGCCCAUUGUUCCCUUCCUCCGUCACUGUUCCUGAAGCUGUGCACAUGGCUGAAGAGGCUGACUUCCACAGCAGUACUUUGGCCAAAGGUAAGUAAGAAGCCCUGUGCUCCUGCUAGAAUCUUCAAAUGAGCUUGCAAGGUUCCAGAGGUUGAGUUUGUAACCUGUUCCAUGUACAUCGGGCUGAUGGCGCUUUAGAUGUUAGAUUCUGGAAUAUUUACAUACCUGUAAUGAAAUAU